rnacentral:misc_RNA from 1 species
GAAAUGCGAUAAGUAGUGUGAAUUGCAGAAUUCAGUGAAUCAUCGAAUCUUUGAACGCACAUUGCGCCCUUUGGUAUUCCUUAGGGCAUGCCUGUUCGAGCGUCAUCUAAACCUUCAAGCCCUGCUUGGUGUUGGGUGCCUGUCCCGCCUCCGCGCGCGGACUCACCUCAAAUCCAUUGGCGGCCCCCGCGUCGGCCACGAGCGCAGCAGAAACGCGAACUCGUGAGCCCGUCCGGGCGGCUCCCAGAAGCUACACCCACCCAGUUUGACCUCGGAUCAGGUAGGGAUACCCGCUGAACUUGAGC